AUUGAACGCUGGCGGCAUGCCUUACACAUGCAGGUCGAACGGUAACAGGUCUUCGGAUGCUGACGAGUGGCGAACGGGUGAGUAAUACAUCGGAACGUGCCCGAUCGUGGGGGAUAACGAGGCGAAAGCUUUGCUAAUACCGCAUACGAUCUACGGAUGAAAGCGGGGGAUCUUCGGACCUCGCGCGGACGGAGCGGCCGAUGGCAGAUUAGGUAGUUGGUGGGAUAAAAGCUUACCAAGCCGACGAUCUGUAGCUGGUCUGAGAGGAUGAUCAGCCACACUGGGACUGAGACACGGCCCAGACUCCUACGGGAGGCAGCAGUGGGGAAUUUUGGACAAUGGGCGAAAGCCUGAUCCAGCCAUGCCGCGUGCAGGAUGAAGGCCUUUGGGUUGUAAACUGCUUUUGUACGGAACGAAAAGCCUCUUUCUAAUAAAGAGGGGUCAUGACGGUACCGUAAGAAUAAGCACCGGCUAACUACGUG
rnacentral:rRNA from 1 species